CCUACGGGUGGCAGCAGUGAGGAAUAUUGGUCAAUGGACGAGAGUCUGAACCAGCCAAGUAGCGUGAAGGAUGACUGCCCUAUGGGUUGUAAACUUCUUUUAUAAAGGAAUAAAACGAGGCACGUGUGCCUUUUUGCAUGUACUUUAUGAAUAAGGAUCGGCUAACUCCGUGCCAGCAGCCGCGGUAAUACGGAGGAUCCGAGCGUUAUCCGGAUUUAUUGGGUUUAAAGGGAGCGUAGAUGGGUUGUUAAGUCAGUUGUGAAAGUUUGCGGCUCAACCGUAAAAUUGCAAUUGAUACUGGCAGUCUAGAGUACAGUUGAGGUAAGCGGAAUUCGUGGUGUAGCGGUGAAAUGCUUAGAUAUCACGAAGAACCCCGAUUGCGAAGGCAGCUUACUAAACUGUGACUGACAUUGAUGCUCGAAAGUGUGGGUAUCAAACAGGAUUAGAUACCCCUGUAGUC
rnacentral:rRNA from 1 species